rnacentral:rRNA from 1 species
GACGAACGCUGGCGGCGUGCUUAACACAUGCAAGUCGAACGGAAAGGCCCUGCUUUUGUGGGGUGCUAGAGUGGCGAACGGGUGAGUAACACGUGAGUAACCUGCCCUUGACUUUGGGAUAACUUCAGGAAACUGGGGCUAAUACCGGAUAGGAGCUCCUGCUGCACGGUGGGGGUUGGAAAGUUUCGGCGUUUGGGGAUGGACUCGAGGCUUAUCAGCUUGUUGGUGGGGUAGUGGCUUACGAAGGCUUUGAAGGGUAGCCGGCCUGAGAGCGUGAACGGGCACAUGGGGACUGCGAGAGGGACCAGACUCCUACGGUAGGCAGCAGGGGGGAAUAUUGCACAACGGGCGGAAGCCUGAUGCAGCAACGCCGCGUGCGGGAUGACGGCCUUCGGGUUGUAAACCGCUUUCGCCGGUGACGAAGCGUGAGUGACGGUAAUGGGUAAAGAAGCCCCGGCUAACUACGUG